AGAUUGGUUUGCCGGCCGAAUUGUUUACAUUUUCUUGCAGCGGUUAGUAGAAUUGGAUGAUGAUGCAUAAGCUUAUUAACCCAUGAUAAUGCAAACAAGUAGCUAUCAGAUGGCCGUCAGGUGGGAAAUUCAACUAUUUUCCACUUAAAAUAUCUCAAAUAAACCGUGACCAGGUAUGCUAUCAAUUCUGCUCUUGGCUUGGCUUCAUAACUGAAACAGACUUGGUCAACUGUACUACUGAUCAUCAACAGAUAAAAGUAUUUAUAGACAUUCUCAUAACAAAAUGAAGCACAUCAAUAUUCAAUAAUUAAUCCUGAAAAAUCAAGCAUGCAAGAACAACCAUUACUGUACAAAAAUUUUAAUUUAAUCUUUCUUACUACCCCAAGGAGAGCAAACCUUUUCAAGCCCUCUUCCAAUGGAUGCUCCAAAUCCACCUUCCUUGUAUGGUGAACAUACUUUUUCAAGCCCUCUCCCGAUAGAAGCUCCAAAGCCACCUUCUUCCUUCACCGGUGAAGAAACAAAAUUGAUGGAUUCCUUCUUAGGGUGGAUGGUUUCAACAAGGGCUUCGAUUUCUUCCUUAGCUCGUUGGAAAAUACUUGGCCCUUUGAUUUCAUCAAUCGGAGUGGUCUCAUCAAUGUCAUCUCCCUUUCCAUGAGUUUCUUUGUGAUGAAUGCGAGGCGAAUUCUUAUGGUGGAUUAUUACUUCGAUCUCUUCCUUGGCUCUUUCAAUUAAAUUUGUUGGCUUAACAUCAUUCUCUGACUCAAACUGCACAGACUGAUCCCCUUUGCUGUGAUUUUCAGACUCUUCCUUGGGAUGGAUAGUUUGAAUCAAAGCCUCGAUCUCCUCCUUUGCUCGCUCAAACACAUUGGGAGCUUUGACAUCAUCCAGUGAGGUAUUUUCAUCAAUGUAAUUACUCGUGCCAUGAGUUUCCUCACGAUGGCGAUGCAAUAUGUCGCUGUGCAUUACCGCCUGGAUCUCCUCCUUGGCUCUUUCAAAAACAUUGGGUACUUUCACAUUUUCAUCUGAGACCUGCUUCGAUCCGGCCAUUAAAGCUGAUAAGAAAGGUGUUUGAUUUUUUUUUUUUUUUUCUGUGUGAGCUUUUUAAUCAAUUAAACCGCAACACAAAACAGACGGCGGUUCUUGUACGCAAAAAAUAUAGCAUCCUUUUUGGGAUUUUGAUUCGUUGUCCGCCAGAUCACUGAGGCCAGGCUAGUGCUUCGUUAGAUCAACAACCGCAGACAAAAGAUACAAUAGAGG
rnacentral:misc_RNA from 1 species